AGAUCAUGGUAGGGGCAUUACCUCAAUAGUCCUUGGAAUCUAUCCCAAAUUUCAAAUAGAGAUUCACCAUAUUUUUGAAUGAAGUUGGUGAUAAAAUUUCUCAAGUGU